AUGCGCCGCGCCGUCUUCUUUGGCGCGGGAACGCCACCGUCCGCGUCGGUCUUCGUCACGCUGUCAAGGUUCUUCGCCUACUUCGAGCACCGCCGCCGCCGCUCUUCUUUGGCCGCCGCCGCCGCUACCUUCGUAGCCGCCGCCGCCCGUCCACCCCCUUCGUCUUCGUCCAGCACCAGCCCGUCGCCAGCGUCGCCGUCAUCUACCCCGACCACUUCGUCUACUCCGACCACCGUUGGUGACAUCAGCCCCGCGCCGAUGGACGCCGCAAUCGUCGUCGAGUUCUUCUCUGCUGGCCUCUCCGACUUCUUCGACAUGGCGUACAACUCGUGCAGGUCCCAGUCUCCACGUGCCCGGUGCUGGAAACACCGCAGCGUGCCUUCGUCCACGACGUGUCCCUAG
rnacentral:rRNA from 1 species